rnacentral:rRNA from 1 species
GAUGAACGCUAGCUACAGGCUUACNACAUGCAAGUCGAGGGGCAUCAGGAAGAAAGCUUGCUUUCUUUGCUAGCGACCGGCGCACGGGUGAGUAACACGUAUCCAACCUGCCCUUUACUCGGGGAUAGCCUUUCGAAAGAAAGAUUAAUNCCCGAUGGCAUAAUGAUUCCGCAUGGUUUCAUUAUUAAAGGAUUCCGGUAAAGGAUGGGGAUGCGUUCCAUUAGGUUGUUGGUGAGGUAACGGCUCACCAAGCCUUCGAUGGAUAGGGGUUCUGAGAGGAAGGUCCCCCACAUUGGAACUGAGACACGGUCCAAACUCCUACGGGAGGCAGCAGUGAGGAAUAUUGGUCAAUGGGCGCUAGCCUGAACCAGCCAAGUAGCGUGAAGGAUGAAGGCUCUAUGGGUCGUAAACUUCUUUUAUAUAAGAAUAAAGUGCAGUAUGUAUACUGUUUUGUAUGUAUUAUAUGAAUAAGGAUCGGCUAACUCCGUGCCAGCAGCCGCGGUAAUACGGAGGAUCCGAGCGUUAUCCGGAUUUAUUGGGUUUAAAGGGAGCGUAGGUGGACUGGUAAGUCAGUUGUGAAAGUUUGCGGCUCAACCGUAAAAUUGCAGUUGAUACUGUCAGUCUUGAGUACAGUAGAGGUGGGCGGAAUUCGUGGUGUAGCGGUGAAAUGCUUAGAUAUCACGAAGAACUCCGGUUGGGAAGGCAGCUCACUGGACUGCAACUGACACUGAUGCUCAAAGGGUGUGGGUAUCAAACAGG